rnacentral:rRNA from 1 species
UACGUAGGGUGCGAGCGUUGUCCGGAAUUAUUGGGCGUAAAGAGCUCGUAGGCGGUUUGUUGCGUCGGCUGUGAAAACCUGCGGCUUAACUGUGGGCUUGCAGUCGAUACGGGCAGACUUGAGUUCGGCAGGGGAGACUGGAAUUCCUGGUGUAGCGGUGAAAUGCGUAGAUAUCUGGAGGAACACCGGUGGCGAAGGCGGCAUCCUGGACCGACACUGACGCUGAGGCGCGAAAGCUAGGGUAGCAAACGGG